rnacentral:rRNA from 1 species
GCAGAACGCGAAGAACCUUACCAGCCCUUGACAUGGCAGGACGAUUUCUUGGAGACGGAUCUCUUCACUUCGGUGACCUGCACACAGGUGCUGCAUGGCUGUCGUCAGCUCGUGUCGUGAGAUGUUGGGUUAAGUCCCGCAACGAGCGCAACCCUCGCCCUUACGUUGCCACUCAUUCAGUUGGGUCGACUCCAAGGGGACGUNCCGGUGAUAAGCCGGAGGAAGGUGGGGAGUGACGUCAAGUCUUCAUGGCCCUUACGGGCUGGGCUACACACGUGCUACAAUGGUGGUGACAGAGGGCUGCUAGGCCGCGAGGCCAUGCCAAUCCCUAAAAGCCAAUCUCAGUUCGGAUUGCACUCUGCAACUCGGGUGCAUGAAGUCGGAAUCGCUAGUAAUCGCAGAUCAGCACGCUGCGGUGAACACGUUCCCGGGUCUUGUACACACCGGAGUCGGUGGGGGA